rnacentral:rRNA from 1 species
AGGACGAACGCUGGCGGCGUGCUUAACACAUGCAAGUCACGGGGGCCCGUAGCAAUACGGGCAACCGGCGAACGGGUGCGUAACACGUGAGCAAUCUGCCGAUCUCUGGGGGAUAGCCAGCCUAACGGCUGGGUAAUACCGCAUACGCUCGUUGGGGGGAGUCCCCUGAUGAGGAAACCUCCGGGGGAGAUCGAGGAGCUCGCGACCUAUCAGCUAGUUGGCGGGGUAACGGCCCACCAAGGCAGCGACGGGUAGCUGGUCUGAGAGGAUGGCCAGCCACAUUGGGACUGCGACACGGCCCAGACUCCUACGGGAGGCAGCAGUGGGGAAUAUUGCGCAAUGGACGAAAGUCUGACGCAGCGACGCCGCGUGUGGGAUGAAGCCUUUCGGGGUGUAAACCACUGUUGCCCGGGACGAAACUCCUCUUUCGAGAGGAUUGACGGUACCGGGUGAGGAAGCGACCGGCUAACUCUGCGCCAGCAGCCGCGGU